GGAUAAGUUACCCGUUCGCGGGACCCACGGCUCUAUUUACAAAAAAGGGUCUGUCUCAGCGGGGAUCAAAAGGGCCCCUGACUGUAUUGGCGUUCCCACUAGGUGUAGUAGUCAGAACCGCCCCUGCUUCCAUCAGCUCCCACCCUGUGUGUCAGGUAUGCGUGUGUCCAGCGACUAGUGUAAAGGUGUCAAGAGGAAAACCAAAUGAGACCACCCCCCCCCCCAAGCCUCAGCCC